UGGGGAAUCUUGGACAAUGGGCGCAAGCCUGAUCCAGCCAUGCCGCGUGAGUGAUGAAGGCCUUAGGGUUGUAAAACUCUUUCGCCGAGGACGAUAAUGACGGUACUCGGAGAAGAAGCUCCGGCUAACUUCGUGCCAGCAGCCGCGGUAAUACGAAGGGGGCUAGCGUUGUUCGGAUUUACUGGGCGUAAAGCGCGUGUAGGCGGGUCGUUAAGUUGGGGGUGAAAUCCCGAGGCUCAACCUCGGAACUGCCUCCAAAACUGGCGACCUGGAGCAAGAUAGAGGCGAGUGGAAUUCCGAGUGUAGAGGUGAAAUUCGUAGAUAUUCGGAGGAACACCAGUGGCGAAGGCGACUCGCUGGAUCUUUGCUGACGCUGAGACGCGAAAGCGUGGGGAGCAAACAGGAUUAGAUACCCCAGUAGUCCCUGAGCGGGCUGGCAAGGCGCAU
rnacentral:rRNA from 1 species